rnacentral:rRNA from 1 species
GAUGAACGCUGGCGGCGUGCUUAACACAUGCAAGUCGAACGAUGAAGCCCAGCUUGCUGGGUGGAUUAGUGGCGAACGGGUGAGUAACACGUGAGUAACCUGCCCUUAACUCUGGGAUAAGCCUGGGAAACUGGGUCUAAUACCGGAUAGGAGCGCCUACCGCAUGGUGGGUGUUGGAAAGAUUUAUCGGUUUUGGAUGGACUCGCGGCCUAUCAGCUUGUUGGUGAGGUAAUGGCUCACCAAGGCGACGACGGGUAGCCGGCCUGAGAGGGUGACCGGCCACACUGGGACUGAGACACGGCCCAGACUCCUACGGGAGGCAGCAGUGGGGAAUAUUACACAAUGGGCGAAAGCCUGAUGCAGCGACGCCGCGUGAGGGAUGACGGCCUUCGGGUUGUAAACCUCUUUCAGUAGGGAAGAAGCGAAAGUGACGGUACCUGCAGAAGAAGCACCGGCUAACUACGUG